GGUUAAGCGACUAAGCGUACACGGUGGAUGCCCUGGCAGUCAGAGGCGAUGAAGGACGUGCUAAUCUGCGAUAAGCGUCGGUAAGGUGAUAUGAACCGUUAUAACCGGCGAUUUCCGAAUGGGGAAACCCAGUGUGUUUCGACACACUAUCAUUAACUGAAUCCAUAGGUUAAUGAGGCGAACCGGGGGAACUGAAACAUCUAAGUACCCCGAGGAAAAGAAAUCAACCGAGAUUCCCCCAGUAGCGGCGAGCGAACGGGGAGCAGCCCAGAGCCUGAAUCAGUGUGUGUGUUAGUGGAAGCGUCUGGAAAGGCGCGCGAUACAGGGUGACAGCCCCGUACACAAAAAUGCACAUGCUGUGAGCUCGAUGAGUAGGGCGGGACACGUGGUAUCCUGUCUGAAUAUGGGGGGACCAUCCUCCAAGGCUAAAUACUCCUGACUGACCGAUAGUGAACCAGUACCGUGAGGGAAAGGCGAAAAGAACCCCGGCGAGGGGAGUGAAAAAGAACCUGAAACCGUGUACGUACAAGCAGUGGGAGCACAGAGCAAUCUGUGUGACUGCGUACCUUUUGUAUAAUGGGUCAGCGACUUAUAUUCUGUAGCAAGGUUAACCGAAUAGGGGAGCCGAAGGGAAACCGAGUCUUAACUGGGCGUUAAGUUGCAGGGUAUAGACCCGAAACCCGGUGAUCUAGCCAUGGGCAGGUUGAAGGUUGGGUAACACUAACUGGAGGACCGAACCGACUAAUGUUGAAAAAUUAGCGGAUGACUUGUGGCUGGGGGUGAAAGGCCAAUCAAACCGGGAGAUAGCUGGUUCUCCCCGAAAGCUAUUUAGGUAGCGCCUCGUGAAUUCAUCUCCGGGGGUAGAGCACUGUUUCGGCAAGGGGGUCAUCCCGACUUACCAACCCGAUGCAAACUGCGAAUACCGGAGAAUGUUAUCACGGGAGACACACGGCGGGUGCUAACGUCCGUCGUGAAGAGGGAAACAACCCAGACCGCCAGCUAAGGUCCCAAAGUCAUGGUUAAGUGGGAAACGAUGUGGGAAGGCCCAGACAGCCAGGAUGUUGGCUUAGAAGCAGCCAUCAUUUAAAGAAAGCGUAAUAGCUCACUGGUCGAGUCGGCCUGCGCGGAAGAUGUAACGGGGCUAAACCAUGCACCGAAGCUGCGGCAGCGACGCUUAUGCGUUGUUGGGUAGGGGAGCGUUCUGUAAGCCUGUGAAGGUGUACUGUGAGGUAUGCUGGAGGUAUCAGAAGUGCGAAUGCUGACAUAAGUAACGAUAAAGCGGGUGAAAAGCCCGCUCGCCGGAAGACCAAGGGUUCCUGUCCAACGUUAAUCGGGGCAGGGUGAGUCGACCCCUAAGGCGAGGCCGAAAGGCGUAGUCGAUGGGAAACAGGUUAAUAUUCCUGUACUUGGUGUUACUGCGAAGGGGGGACGGAGAAGGCUAUGUUGGCCGGGCGACGGUUGUCCCGGUUUAAGCGUGUAGGCUGGUUUUCCAGGCAAAUCCGGAAAAUCAAGGCUGAGGCGUGAUGACGAGGCACUACGGUGCUGAAGCAACAAAUGCCCUGCUUCCAGGAAAAGCCUCUAAGCAUCAGGUAACAUCAAAUCGUACCCCAAACCGACACAGGUGGUCAGGUAGAGAAUACCAAGGCGCUUGAGAGAACUCGGGUGAAGGAACUAGGCAAAAUGGUGCCGUAACUUCGGGAGAAGGCACGCUGAUAUGUAGGUGAAGUCCCUCGCGGAUGGAGCUGAAAUCAGUCGAAGAUACCAGCUGGCUGCAACUGUUUAUUAAAAACACAGCACUGUGCAAACACGAAAGUGGACGUAUACGGUGUGACGCCUGCCCGGUGCCGGAAGGUUAAUUGAUGGGGUCAGCGCAAGCGAAGCUCUUGAUCGAAGCCCCGGUAAACGGCGGCCGUAACUAUAACGGUCCUAAGGUAGCGAAAUUCCUUGUCGGGUAAGUUCCGACCUGCACGAAUGGCGUAAUGAUGGCCAGGCUGUCUCCACCCGAGACUCAGUGAAAUUGAACUCGCUGUGAAGAUGCAGUGUACCCGCGGCAAGACGGAAAGACCCCGUGAACCUUUACUAUAGCUUGACACUGAACAUUGAGCCUUGAUGUGUAGGAUAGGUGGGAGGCUUUGAAGUGUGGACGCCAGUCUGCAUGGAGCCGACCUUGAAAUACCACCCUUUAAUGUUUGAUGUUCUAACGUGGACCCGUAAUCCGGGUUGCGGACAGUGUCUGGUGGGUAGUUUGACUGGGGCGGUCUCCUCCUAAAGAGUAACGGAGGAGCACGAAGGUUGGCUAAUCCUGGUCGGACAUCAGGAGGUUAGUGCAAUGGCAUAAGCCAGCUUGACUGCGAGCGUGACGGCGCGAGCAGGUGCGAAAGCAGGUCAUAGUGAUCCGGUGGUUCUGAAUGGAAGGGCCAUCGCUCAACGGAUAAAAGGUACUCCGGGGAUAACAGGCUGAUACCGCCCAAGAGUUCAUAUCGACGGCGGUGUUUGGCACCUCGAUGUCGGCUCAUCACAUCCUGGGGCUGAAGUAGGUCCCAAGGGUAUGGCUGUUCGCCAUUUAAAGUGGUACGCGAGCUGGGUUUAGAACGUCGUGAGACAGUUCGGUCCCUAUCUGCCGUGGGCGCUGGAGAACUGAGGGGGGCUGCUCCUAGUACGAGAGGACCGGAGUGGACGCAUCACUGGUGUUCGGGUUGUCAUGCCAAUGGCACUGCCCGGUAGCUAAAUGCGGAAGAGAUAAGUGCUGAAAGCAUCUAAGCACGAAACUUGCCCCGAGAUGAGUUCUCCCUGACUCCUUGAGAGUCCUGAAGGAACGUUGAAGACGACGACGUUGAUAGGCCGGGUGUGUAAGCGCAGCGAUGCGUUGAGCUAACCGGUACUAAUGAACCGUGAGG
rnacentral:rRNA from 1 species